AACGAACGCUGGCGGCAUGCCUAACACAUGCAAGUCGAACGAGACCUUCGGGUCUAGUGGCGCACGGGUGCGUCACGCGUGGGAACCUGCCCUUAGGUUCGGAAUAACUCCCCGAAAGGGGUGCUAAUACCGGAUAAUGUCUUCGGACCAAAGAUUUAUCGCCUUUGGAUGGGCCCGCGUUGGAUUAGCUAGUUGGUAGGGUAAAAGCCUACCAAGGCGACGAUCCAUAGCUGGUCUGAGAGGAUGAUCAGCCACACUGGGACUGAGACACGGCCCAGACUCCUACGGGAGGCAGCAGUGGGGAAUAGUGGACAAUGGGCGAAAGCCUGAUCCAGCAAUGCCGCGUGAGUGAUGAAGGCAUUAGGGUUGUAAAGCUCUUUUACCCGGGAUGAUAAUGACAGUACCGGGAGAAUAAGCCCCGGCUAACUCCGUG
rnacentral:rRNA from 1 species